AACUGGUGCAGAGCAGAACAAUGUUUUCUUGAGGGAAAAGUUUCUAUUGCCACAGAAAGACAGUACAUGAAAUACCAAUGGCACGAGAAGCCUUCCCUCCCAGGACUGGGUGACAGAACACUUUUUCAAAGAUAAAACAUAAUUCUGACCAGA